UACAGAGGGUGCAAGCGUUAAUCGGAAUUACUGGGCGUAAAGCGUGCGUAGACGGUUACGUAAGUCGGGUGUGAAAGCCCCGGGCUUAACCUGGGAAUGGCGCUUGAAACUACAGGACUGGAGUAUGGCAGAGGGAGGUGGAAUUCCACGUGUAGCGGUGAAAUGCGUAGAGAUGUGGAGGAACACCGAUGGCGAAGGCAGCCUCCUGGGCCAAUACUGACGCUCAUGCACGAAAGCGUGGGGAGCAAACAGG
rnacentral:rRNA from 1 species